rnacentral:rRNA from 1 species
UAUAAUUUAAGGUCUGGCCUGCCCAAUGAUAGAAAUAUUUAAUGGCCGCGGUAUUUUGACCGUGCAAAGGUAGCAUAAUCAUUAGUUUUUUAAUUGAAAGCUUGUAUGAAAGGUUGGAUGAGAAAAUAGCUGUCUCUGUUUAAAUUUUUUUAGAAUUUUAUUUUUAAGUUAAAAAGCUUAAAUUUUUAUGAAAGACGAGAAGACCCUAUAGAGUUUUAUAUUUUUAUAAUAAGAGAGGUUUUAGUAUUUAAAGUAUUUUUAUUAUGAAGGUAUUUAGUUGGGGUGAUUAAAAAAUAAAAUUAACUUUUUUUUUUAUUUAUACAUUGAUAUAUGAUUAAAUGAUCCUUUAUUUAAGAUUAAAAGACAAAAUUACCUUAGGGAUAACAGCGUAAUUUUUUUUGAGAGUUCAAAUCGAAAGAAAAGAUUGCGACCUCGAUGUUGGAUUAAAAUUUAUUUUUGGUGUAGAAGCUAAAAUAAUUAGGUCUGUUCGACCUUUAAAAUUUUACA